AGUAAUCAUACGGUUAAUUCUAGUAUGAUACCGAUUAGUGAGCAUAACUUGAGCAGCUACAUAA